rnacentral:rRNA from 1 species
GACAGAGGCCACGAACGUUGUUCGGAAUCACUGGGCAUAAAGCGCACGUAGGCGGCUGGGUCCGUCCGAUGUGAAAGCCCCCGGCUCAACUGGGGAGGGUCAUUCGAUACUGAUCGACUCGAAGGCAGGAGAGGGAAGUGGAAUUCCCGGUGUAGUGGUGAAAUGCGUAGAUAUCGGGAGGAACACCAGUGGCGAAGGCGACUUCCUGGCCUGUUCUUGACGCUGAGGCGCGAAAGCUAGGGGAGCAAACGGG